UAGGUAACCUGCCUCUAAGAUUGGGAUAACUUGUCGAAAGACGAGCUAAUACCAAAUAAGACCACAGUCUCCUCGGGGACAGAGGUCAAAGGUAG
rnacentral:rRNA from 1 species